ensembl:lncRNA
UGAAAACAAGCUAAAAAAAAGUUUGUCAUCACAAAUCAAAUUUGACGCAGAGCACCACAGGUUUGGAAAACUACAUCUUAACACCCAAAGCCUGAGAUGUGUACCUUUGGAUCCCUUAAAUGAAGUCAGCAUGACCCAGGAACAAGAUUAAAUAGUUUAGAUGACCCCUCUUAGAGGAGUACAGGAAACAAUAUGUGGUGACGUUGCCAACAGCCAGUGAUAAAGUGGGCUAUCAAACCCAGUGGGCUUCUACACUGGUUUGGAAAUCUCUUUCUCUGUGUACAUUUCCCUUUCUGGUGAAGGAAGCAGAUGCUUGGACACAUAAUGAUCAUGCUAUGACAAGCGUGUCUCUAUAGGUCAGAGGAAUGAGGACAGCGUCCUGUCUGGGUCAGUACAACAAAAUCCAUUUUGUAGUUUCAAACCCUUCGUACAUUCUUCUGUGGAAGGACAAAUAGAAUCAUGUUCCAUAUAACAAAACAGGACUGUGAUUUAUACCAAUAAACAAAAAAACAAAACAAAAAAAAACCAAACAAACAAACAAAAAAUGUCUAAAUCUUCUGAAGCCAUACAGUACCUUUAAGAGGAACAGGCAGAAAAACAAAAAGGAUAGUAAAACAACAGUAAUAAUGUGAAAUAUUAUUACAGUUUUAAAUAACUCUUUUCUACCUAAAUAUAUUUUAAAAUGUUAUUUAUUCCUGUGAUGCAAAGCUGACUUUUUAGCGUUAUUAUACAGUCUUCAUUGUCACAUGAU